rnacentral:lncRNA from 1 species
CUCUCAUUUCCUUCCCCAAACCCCGCAACCUCCCCAACAGCCACCGCAAUCACUUUCAAUCAAAAACCAACUGCCGUCACCACUGGGCGUGGCAAACCCACCUAAAUCUAGUCGCUAACCCUAAUCCCUCAUUCCCUCAGCCUCUAUUCGAGAUUUUGACUAUCCCUGACCCUCAGCCUCUCUUCGACUCACUCCCUCUGUCCCUCAGUUUCAGUCGCCGCCGACCCACCGCAAAGUUCGACGGUUCGGCCUCAUCUCUAAGCUAGCUCUAACCUUUCAGUCAGUCAUCUCACUCCCUCAGCCUCUCUAAGCUAGCUCCUAUUCGUAAUCUCGAACCGCUGAACCGCCGACCCACGGCUUUGCUUCGACCCAUUGCAGGUGGGGUGGUGAUAUUGCUGAGCCCUUGCGCUCUUUAAAUCAUUGAGUAAUUGAGGUUCGUCGACAGACAAAGCACAAUAUUUUUGGACAUCACGAUCUUCUUCAUUAUCAAAGAAGAAGAAGAAAAAGAAGAGGGAAACGGGAAGAAUUUCACUGUUCUUCAAGUCAGCACGGGUGGGUGAUGUUCGAUUUGAACAGAAAUCGAGUAAAUUGAUCAUCCCAGUUAUUCAAGUUUGGCCAGUGCAGUCCGUUUGCAUACCUGAAGGUUCUAAUACUAGCAAAGAGAAAUUGUAUUCAAGGGACCUCACAGUCCAAUUUAAAAAUUAGGAGGAGAGUGGAGCUUUCCAUUAUUAUGUAUCAAGCAAGGGAAUAUAUGCAGUUUCGUGACACCAAUGAAAUUCAUGCAUCAUCAGUUUUGUGACAGCAAUGAGGAGGAGAGUGGUGCCUUCCAUUAUUAUCUAUCAAGCAACAUACUAUCUCCUUGGAGGUCACUGACAGCAAAGGGAUCUUCAUUUUAAGAGGCAGAGUUAGAUAAGGAAUAGGGGUUGAAUUUGGAGCUGCAGUCAUACUUUGACAGUUCUUUCAGAGGCUGGAAGAAGAGGAGGGGAGAGGCAGAAAGUAAGCAACUGCAAAUGAGAUCCAACAAGUCUUUGUAAAGUCUGAGGCAUUCAAACAGAAAAGGGAAGAAGGGAAAUCAGUUUCAUCUCGAAUUUCAUAGGAAAUUGCUUUGGCUCCCACAGCAUUUACAAUGGCAUUGGAAUUUCAAGCUGAUGGUUGAUAUACCAAGUAGUUUACAAUCAGGGUUAUGCAUAUAUACUCACGCAGCCCGGAAUACCUUCCGUUUUCUAUGACCAAUUCUAUGAUUCGGGUGAUUCAAUUCAUGAUCAGAUUGUGAAACUGGUACAGCAGUGUAGCUAGGUAGUUCCUUUAUUAACUUGUGUCUAGUAGAUUCUUCAUUCAUUAAGCAUUUGGACUUGU